rnacentral:sRNA from 1 species
GCCAGGCGCAGUGGCUCAUGCCUGUAAUCACAGCAGCUUAAGAGGCUGAGGCAGGAGGAUCACAAGUUCAAAACCAGCCUCAGCAAUGGUGAGGCACUAAGCAACACAGUGAGACCCUGUUUCUA